UACGAAGGGGGCUAGCGUUGUUCGGAUUUACUGGGCGUAAAGCGCGUGUAGGCGGGUCGUUAAGUUGGGGGUGAAAUCCCCAGGCUCAACCUGGGAACUGCGUCUGAUACUGGAUGGCUUGAAUCCGGGAGAGGGAUGCAGAAUUCCAGGUGUAGCGGUGAAAUGCGUAGAUAUCUGGAGGAAUACCGGUGGCGAAGGCGGCAUCCUGGACCGGCAUUGACGCUGAGGAGCGAAAGCCAGGGGAGCAAACGGG
rnacentral:rRNA from 1 species